AAAUGCGAUAAGUAAUGUGAAUUGCAGAAUUCAGUGAAUCAUCGAAUCUUUGAACGCACAUUGCGCCCGCCAGUAUUCUGGCGGGCAUGCCUGUUCGAGCGUCAUUUCAACCAUCAAGCCCCCAGCUUGUGUUGGGGACCUGCGGCUGCCCGCAGGCCCUGAAAAACAGUGGCGGGCUCGCUGUCACACCGAGCGUAGUAGCAUACAUUCUCGCUCAGGGCGUGCUGCGGGUUCCGGCCGUUAAACGACCUUCAUAACCCAAGGUUGACCUCGGAUCAGGUAGGAAGACCCGCUGAACUUAAGC
rnacentral:misc_RNA from 1 species